AUUGAACUCUGGCGGCAGGCCUAACACAUGCAAGUCGAGCGAGAGGCGGACGGGUUAGUAAUGUAUGGGGACUGCCCGAUAGAGGGGGAUAACUACUGGAAACGGUGGCUAAUACCGCAUACUAUCGGAUAACCCAUAUGGGAUUAGCUAGUAGGUGGGGUAAAGGCUCACCUAGGCGACGAUCUCUAGCUGGUCUGAGAGGAUGAUCAGCCACACGUGGACUGAGACACGGCCCGGAAUCAUACGGAGGCAGCAGUGGGGAAUAGUGCACAAUGGGAGCAAGCCUUAUGCAGCCAUGCCGCGUGUAUGAAGAAGGCCGUAGGGUUGUAAAGUACUUUCAGCGGUGAGGCGUUACCCGCAGAAGAAGCACCGGCUAACUCCGUGCCAGCCGCCGCGGUAAUAC
rnacentral:rRNA from 1 species